rnacentral:rRNA from 1 species
UAGGGAAUAUUGGGCAAUGGAGGCAACUCUGACCCAGCCAUCCCGCGUGCAGGAUGAAGGAUCUAUGGUUCGUAAACUGCUUUUAUCAGGGAAGAAAAAGAUUGAUUUAUCAAUAACUGACGGUACCUGAUGAAUAAGCACCGGCUAACUCCGUGCCAGCAGCCGCGGUAAUACGGAGGGUGCAAGCGUUAUCCGGAUUCACUGGGUUUAAAGGGUGCGUAGGCGGCUAUUUAAGUCAGUGGUGAAAGCCCGCAGCUUAACUGUGGAAUUGCCAUUGAAACUGAGUAGCUCGAAUCUGGUUGAAGUGGGCGGAAUACAUCAUGUAGCGGUGAAAUGCAUAGAUAUGAUGUAGAACACCAAUUGCGAAGGCAGCUCACUAAGCCAACAUUGACGCUGAGGCACGAAAGCGUGGGGAGCAAACAGG